GUUGGCUAAUUAUACAACGUACUGACUUGUCGCAAAUGCAAGUGAAUUCCAGACGAAUUUUGACAGUAUGUAUAUAUUUGUAUCAGUCUGUAUCUUUAUUUGUCUUUAUCUUUAAAUUGAUUUUGUCUUAAUUUUCUUUUCCCGUAAUUAUCUCACUUAAACGCGUUUGUUAUCGUAUGUGAAGCAUAUUUUAAGGAAACAGGAUAAGAAUAACAAUUCAGAUUAAUAUGUUUUAAAAUAAUAUAACGAUUAUAAGGACCAAAAGAUAUGGAAUGAAAUCACGGAUUAAAAUAAAUAAAAUAAAGCAGUACUUCUAGUAGUAAUUUUG
rnacentral:lncRNA from 1 species